AUACAUUCUUAAACAUAUGAAUUUGCUUUAAUAAAUACCUUUGAAAUACAUACAGCAUCGACUGUACUGCGUAUACAAAUUUAUUAAACACUUACUAUUUAUUAGCCUUAAAUUUUCUCGCCGCACUGUAUUCCUUUAUCUUUUUUGCUCUACCUCCAAAAAUAAUCAUGGGAAAUACCUUUGGUGGAGAAUGGAAUGGAACAUGCAGGUCGGUCUAUGAAAGCCACUCAAUCAUUCUGCUUCACUUCAUGGAAAAAAAUAAAAUAAAAAGAAACGUUUUAACUGAUCGCUCAAUCACUGAUAUACAAGUGUCUGUAUAUGGAGAUAUAUAUAUAUUUGUAUCAAUAUAUAUACUCGAUCGCUGGGUGGCAGACGUUGCCUGAAUUGAAUUCAUUGUUGAGGAGCGAUUUGGUUAAGUCACCCGCGUGAUUGUUUGCUUUUUGGCCAGAUAAGUAGCUCCGCUCCACCCUCUGAACCCCCUGGAAAAUUGGCUCCUGAUUCACCUGAGGCCAAAGGUCAAUCAACAGGUGACGGGGCUUUUUUCGUGGCUUCUGUGGGAAGAUUUCAGAAUUCCGAGACACCACGUUCAAGGGUGGGAAUUUAAAUUUUAUAUUGAUAACCAUUUACUCCAACUUUAUGGCCGUGCAAAAUUUGAUGACCGAUUUUAUUGGCUCACGGAUGUUAAAAUAUUUUCUGCACAUUAUGAGAUUCAGCACGCUGGAUGCGAUUUCUUUCUAAAAAGAUGACCCAUUUUGAUGUAAGUAUUUUAGUAAACCGUUUUCAAAUUAUAAAAAAAAAAACAUGUUUGCCCUUUUCCCUAAUCUCCUCAAGGACCGACAUAAAUUUGCUCGACUUCAUUCAUUGAUUCAAUUUACUUCUGCUCAAAGUUGACUCGUAAAUUUCUUCCCAAUUAAUGGGAUCAGGCGGAAUUUGCCUCAUCUUUGAGAAUUAACUGACUCACCCAGUUCCUUUGUGGAUUAUCUGCGAUCGGACUUCAUUGCGGUCAUAAUAUAAGCCAUCAGGCAAUUCGCAAUCUAAAUGUCCAGCUAAAACUACUGUUAAAACUAACCAGGCUGAAAAGAAAUCGCAUAAAAACAAAACUUGUCCGGCCAUUAUAAACCAAAGUCGUUGCUGCAUUUUGGGGCACGCAACGCAAACGCGAAGGGGCAGGAAGAAAUUUCAUUUUUACGAUCCGUGUGGGAUCGUAAAAUGUCUGGGCGACCGCGUGUGGAACGUUUAAUUUGAUGCUGAAAUACUGAUACUGAUAGGCCCGAACCGCGGGCACUUAAAUUGCAUAUAAAAGUGGCUUUUAUGAUUGGCCUUCUAUUAGCGAAAUCAACUAUUACGUGUUAAAUCGCACGAUCCACCCAGCCGGACAACAAGGGCCACAAAAUGAUCGUAAAAUUUAGACAGUUGUAAAAUUUCGAGUUGGUUUCCCUUUUCUUCCUGUGGUUCAGAGUGUGUAAAUCAAAGGAUGUGCAGCCAGGUUGGUGGUGCACUAAGAAAAAAUGCUACCUUCGAUUAUACUCAGGAAUGUAGUGCCUGAGAUUGAACACCACAUUGACUGAAUCUGAUCAGAGUGCAACACUUUCUACUGCUUCCUUAAGCACAUCCUUUUUUUUCACAGUGUAUCCUCCUAUCCAGGUCAUAGUUCGCCGGGCAAGGUGUCGACUUACAUGUGCAGCGAUGGAUGGCCGGCAAGCCCCUACCAAAAUAAAACUGAUGGAAUGGAGUGCGGUGGAGUGGUUCGAACCUUUGGAAUGGCAGCAGGCAGGAUCCGAGAUCCCUAGAUGCCAGGAUCUCCUGGCACAGAAAGCGAAAGUGAGUUUUCGGGGUAAAUGAAAUUAACAACGCAUCCUUUGCGCAUCGCUGAUUGUUUUGUUUCAAUUUCUGGUUGCGCCCCUCGAUCUAGAAAAAGAAGGAAAGGGACAAGACUUCUGAAGGGAGAGGUAUAACCUUUAACCUCCGGAUCGGUCGGUCGGUUGUGCAUAGAGUGACAGCAGUGGAAACCACCCAGAGCCAUUGGAAUGUUCCAACACACACGCCAAAUGGCAAAUGCGAAAUGCGAUGCUGAUGCUUAAUUUCUGGCCAAGGAGUCGGAGGUGGCCACCAGUGGAGGAGCGGCUUGUGGAAUGGUUCGGGGAGCAGCGGCCUGUGGUGGGCCAAAUUGGAUGCCCAGCUGUGUGGAGCAGACUGUGCCAUAACUUAACACCUUCGCUGUUGUCUUCGCCGGAGUGCCAUGGUCAUUGCAUUUGCCAGGCAAAUGCGUUCUCGAAAGCGCCCCACAUGACCAGGAAUAGGGUGACUCAGGGCUAGAAAGUUUGGAAAUAAAUCAAAUAUUUUCAAACAGUACUUAAACUCGAGAUUCAACUAUUGUAUUUCAAAUAGUUACUAGCUAUAUCUCGUGAAUCCUAUAUACUACUACUUACUUCAAUCCCUUAUUAAAGUGUGUUUUCCUACCUAUAUCCAAAUAAAGACCAUAGCUUUCAGAGAA
rnacentral:sRNA from 1 species